UAAAGUUUUUUAUACCGUGUGAAAAAAACUUCAUGUUGCAGUAUUAUUUGGAGAAAAAUAAGAGCUACUUUUUCUCCGCAACGAUUCAUAUAUGGAUAUGGAGCAUUUAGUAUCAAAGAUAAAUGUUAUCUACAAAAAUUGGUCAGUAAAUCUCGAGAAUGCUGAAUUGGUGGCAGUUGGUCCACUAUUUGAAACACAAGUAGGGACAGUUGUUUGGGACAGCGAUAUUGUUGCAGCGAAGAACAUUCUAUUCAAAGAGCCGCAGAGAAUCCACCCAAUGCGAUCAAUUCGAACAAUGGAAACUGACAAGCAGCAACAGCAGCCUCAAAAUCUAAAUCGAUAAUAUAAAACGAAAACCAUAAUAACCAUGUUAUGCCGCUGUACGAAUAAUAUAGUUUGUGACUAUAUGAGGUGGAUAUAAUUGAUGACGUAGCCACACAAUUAACCGUAAACUUGUGCUUGAUGAUGGAUGAUUUCGCGUUGAAAAAUGUUCUCUGGGAAAUUAAUUGAUGGCAUCGCUGAAGGAGGGUUAAAUAAUGAAUCUUAAUACUUUUAAGUACUUGCAAAUUAGUGGAGAUGAUAGCAAAACGAAAUAAAUUAAGAAGUCAAUUAUUGCACAUGAGCCCAGCCAACUAUUUAGCUGUAU